rnacentral:antisense_RNA from 1 species
GAAAGCACGACAUUGCUCACAUUGCUUCCAGUUUAUAGCCAGCCUCGCGCUGGCUUUUUUUU